rnacentral:lncRNA from 1 species
GUGAAUAAAGGAGUGUUAAGGGUGAAUAAAGGGGUGAUAAGGUGAAUAAAAGAGGUGCUAAGGAUGAAUAAAAGGCUGUUAAGGUCAAUAAAGGGGUGUUAAGGUGAAAAAAAGGGGUAUUAAGGGUGAAUAAAGGGUGAAUAAAGGGGUUUUAAGAUCAAUAAAGGGGUGUUAAGGGUGAAUAAAAGGGUGCUAAGGUGAAUAGAGGGGUUUUAAGAUCAAUAAAGGGGUGUUAAGGGGAAUAAAAGGGUGUUAACGGCAAUAAAGGGGUGUUAAGGGUGAAUAAAGGGAUUUUAAGAUCAAUAAAGGGGCGUUAAGGUGAAUAAAAGGGGUUUCAAGGAGAAUAAAAGGGUAUUAAAGUGAAUAAAGGGGUGUUAAGGGUGAUAAAAGGGUGUUAAGGUGAAUAAAGGGGCGUUAAGGUCGAUAAAGGGGCAUUAAGUUCAUUUAAAGGGUGAUAAGGUCAAUAAAGGGGUGUUAAGGUGAUUGGGGGGGGGUCUUAUAAUUAUAUGUCCCCCCCCCCUCACAGGGGUGUGCGCCCUCAACAACUGCAUUUACGCCAUGGGGGGGUACGACGGGACGGACCAGCUGAACAGCACGGAGCGCUACGAGGUGGAGAGCGACACCUGGACCUUCGUGGCCCCCAUGAGGUGCCGCCGCAGCGCCCUGGGGGUCACCGUCUACCAGGGCAAGAUCUACGUCCUGGGGGGCUACGACGGCCACACGUUCCUGGACUCGGUGGAGUGUUACGACCCGGUGACCGACGCCUGGACGGAGGUGACCAGGAUGACGUCGGGGCGCAGCGGGGUGGGGGUGGCCAUCACCAUGGAGCCCUGUCGCAAAAACCCCCCCCAGGAACGAGCCGAGAGACCCCACUGUCCCUGCUAACCCCGGCGCCGCCGUGGGGGGGGGGGUUUAUUUUCCCCCCACGGCGGCCAAAAAAAUGGGGUGUAAUUGGGGGGGAUUUGGGGUGACACCAUCAACCCCCCCCCACCCCAACAAAUCACCGGACUGGACUCUUGGCCAC